rnacentral:rRNA from 1 species
UACGUAGGUGGCAAGCGUUAUCCGGAUUUACUGGGUGUAAAGGGCGUGUAGGCGGGGAUGCAAGUCAGAUGUGAAAUUCCGAGGCUUAACCUCGGGGCUGCAUCUGAAACUGUAUCUCUUGAGUGCUGGAGAGGGAAGCGGAAUUCCUAGUGUAGCGGUGAAAUGCGUAGAUAUUAGGAGGAACACCAGUGGCGAAGGCGGCUUUCUGGACAGUAACUGACGCUGAGGCGCGAAAGCGUGGGGAGCAAAC